rnacentral:rRNA from 1 species
CUCACUAGUCUCUUGCCUGGCUUUUAAAACAGGAAGCCGAUCAAUAAACAAUAAACCCGCACAGCUGAUAGAGUUGUGCGGGUUUUUGUUUGUAAUUUUUAUGCUUUUAACCGGCUGGUGUCCGUCAACCGAAGCCGUUUAAACGUAACCAUAAAAGGGUUUAGAACAAGGUUGGUUUUGCUCCACCCUGCAACAAUUGGCCUAAAAAUGUACUGUCUUUGCCGCCCGUUGGGGUUGUUCGCGAGAUGAAAUCAAAUACUUUUCCAUCCUGCAGGCCAUAAUUUGCCAAUCGGCUAACCUGGCUUUCUUCAUCAAAAUAUACGGCAAAUACCCUCUGGUCU